rnacentral:rRNA from 1 species
GACGAACGCUGGCGGCGUGCCUAAUACAUGCAAGUCGAGCGGACUUGACGGAGCUUGCUCCUGAUAGUCAGCGGCGGACGGGUGAGUAACACGUGGGCAACCUGCCUGUAAGACUGGGAUAACUUCGGGAAACCGGAGCUAAUACCGGAUACGUUCUUUUCUCGCAUGAGAGAAGAUGGAAAGACGGUUUCGGCUGUCACUUACAGAUGGGCCCGCGGCGCAUUAGCUAGUGGGUGGGGUAAUGGCCCACCAAGGCGACGAGGCGUAGCCGACCUGAGAGGGUGAUCGGCCACACUGGGACUGAGACACGGCCCAGACUCCUACGGGAGGCAGCAGUAGGGAAUCUUCCGCAAUGGACGAAAGUCUGACGGAGCAACGCCGCGUGAGUGAAGAAGGUUUUCGGAUCGUAAAACUCUGUUGUCAGGGAAGAACAAGUGCCAUAGUAACUGAUGGUACCUUGACGGUACCUGACCAGAAAGCCACGGCUAACUACGUGCCAGCAGCCGCGGUAAAAC